AAUUUACUUAUUUUAUAAUUUUGUAUAUCGUUGUUAUAAAAAUAUUUUUUAAUAAAAAUUAAUAUUUAAAAAUUAAAAAGAAAAUUAAAUCAGAUCAAGAUGCAGAUUAUAAUUAAGAAUAUAAUGGAUUACAAUAAAUUUAUUUAAAUGGAUUUUAAUUUGUAAUAUUUAAUUGAAGGUGGAUUUAAAUGUAAUUUUAUUUAAUUUAAUAAAAUGAUUAAAAAUUAAAAUAUGU
rnacentral:rRNA from 1 species